CAGAAAGUAACCCGGCCUGGCAUCCGCAGCAGAGGGAGGAAGCUGGUUUGGGCCCACGCCCCUCCCGGAAUCCGGUGGUGUAGGAGGGCACCGUCCUGUAGCAGUGGAGCAGCCCAAAGUGCAGACCAUCCAAUGUUCAUCAGUGCGUAGUGGAUA